UACGUAGGGUGCAAGCGUUAAUCGGAAUUACUGGGCGUAAAGGGCGCGUAGGCGGUUUCGUAAGUCCCGUGUGAAAGCCCCCGGCUCAACUGGGGAACUGCACGGGAAACUGCGAGGCUUGAGUUCGGGAGAGGGAAGCGGAAUUCCGGGUGUAGCGGUGAAAUGCGUAGAUAUCCGGAGGAACACCGGUGGCGAAGGCGGCUUCCUGGACCGACACUGACGCUGAGGCGCGAAAGCUAGGGGAGCAAACGGG
rnacentral:rRNA from 1 species